CAUUUGUUCCCUAAAUAGGGACUUGUAUGAAUGGCCACACGAGGGCUUUACUGUCUCUUACUUCCAAUCCGUGAAAUUGACCUUCCCGUGAAGAGGCGGGAAUACAACAAUAAGACGAGAAGACCCUAUGGAGCUUUAAUUAACCGACCCAAAGAGACCCAUUAAUUUCAACCGACAGGAACAACAAACCUCUAUAUGGGCCGACAAUUUAGGUUGGGGUGACCUCGGAGAACAGAACAACCUCCGAGUGAUUUAAAUCAAGACUAACCAGUCGAAAGUAUUACAUCACUUAUUGAUCCAAAAGUUUGAUCAACGGAACAAGUUACCCUAGGGAUAACAGCGCAAUCCUAUUUCAGAGUCCAUAUCGACAAUAGGGUUUACGACCUCGAUGUUGGAUCAGGACAUCCCGAUGGUGCAGCAGCUAUCAAAGGUUCGUUUGUUCAACGAUUAAAGUCCU
rnacentral:rRNA from 1 species